UACGAAGGGUGCAAGCGUUAAUCGGAAUUACUGGGCGUAAAGCGUGCGUAGGUGGUCCUUUAAGUCCGUUGUGAAAGCCCUGGGCUCAACCUGGGAAUGGCAGUGGAUACUGGAAGGCUGGAGUACGGUAGAGGAGGGUGGAAUUCCCGGUGUAGCGGUGAAAUGCGUAGAGAUCGGGAGGAACAUCAGUGGCGAAGGCGGCCCUCUGGACCAGUACUGACGCUGAGGCACGAAAGCGUGGGGAGCAAACAGG
rnacentral:rRNA from 1 species